UGGGGAAUUUUGCACAAUGGGGGCAACCCUGAUGCAGCGACGCCGCGUGAUUUAGAAGGCCUUCGGGUUGUAAAAAUCUUUUGUAUGGGAAGAAAAUGACAGUACCAUACGAAUAAGGACCGGCUAAUUACGUGCCAGCAGCCGCGGUAAUACGUAAGGUCCGAGCGUUGUCCGGAAUCAUUGGGCGUAAAGGGUACGUAGGCGGAUAAGCAAGUUAGAAGUGAAAUCCUAUAGCUCAACUAUAGUAAGCUUUUAAAACUGCUCAUCUUGAGGUAUGGAAGGGAAAGUGGAAUUCCUAGUGUAGCGGUGAAAUGCGCAGAUAUUAGGAGGAAUACCGGUGGCGAAGGCGACUUUCUGGUCUGUAACUGACGCUGAUGUGCGAAAGCGUGGGGAUCAAACAGG
rnacentral:rRNA from 1 species